UUAUGCCUGGCUCCCUGUAUGCCGCAAGCAGACGACAAUCUGCCGGAGAUUGGCCGUUGCUGGUGGCGUACGAGGAGCCAAGCAUAC
rfam:Citrus sinensis cultivar Ridge Pineapple sweet orange scaffold00008_contig_208, whole genome shotgun sequence.